CGAUUCCUGAGGCGGUUACACGACAUUUUCCAGAAAACUAGAUGAGAAAAUGUUGGUACUAACCAAAUUCUCUAGGCAAUACCGUUUCAAUUUCUGCAGGUUAGUAACACUGUUAAAGUAGUAAAUCCAAGGUUUGCAGAGUCGGUUUUGACGUAUGCGCGCGUAUGUGUCAAACAAUAAAUAUUGUAUAAAUGAUUUAUAACAUUUGAUUUAAUCAAUGAAUAAAAAUUACACAAAUAACUAAAAAUAUAGUGCAUAGAGAUGAACAAGUUUCUUUAAUGUGCCUUUAUAAACACUAUGAUUGAAUUCUUGUUCUUCGCCUUGGAAUCAUUCAGAUUUCAAUGAAAUAAAAUUAAGCUAAGCAUAAGAAGCAUAAAGAAGGAAGAUGGAAAGAAAGAAGGGAGAAUAAACGAAUAUAUCAGAUAAUUACUUCUCAGUCAAUCAUUUGCUUGUAGAAUGUUAACGGCUGGAGAACAAUCCCUUGCAGAGUGAAACUACCAAAUUUUAAGCCUACUACGUUCUCGAGUGUACCAAAAUUCAAGCAGGAAAUGUGUUAUCCACCCACCUUUGCUAGAAUAGAGGUUCGGAGUAGCAAUGGAAUGCUUGUCAAGGAUUAUUUUGUAAGUAAAUUUACACUAUUUGAAGUAAAAGAAUACAUGAUCGUAAAUGCAUUAAGAUCAUAAUAAAUAAAGAAUUAAGUUACAAGUCUAGGAACAAUAAUUAAAAAAAGAAUAGUAGUAAUAUUAAAACGUUUAUUUACUCAUAAAUUGUUAUUUUCCUAUUAAUUUGGAUAAUUUAUAUAAGAUUAAUAAAAGAUCCAAAUCUUCGUUAUUUUCAAUUUCACUCCAGAUUUCUAAUAUUUUAUUUUAUUUGGAUCUUGUCAAAAGCGUUGAUGACAUAUUAACGAUAAACGCAACAGUAUCUCUAGUGCA